rnacentral:piRNA from 1 species
UUAUGAGUUUGUAAGUAUUGA